rnacentral:tRNA from 1 species
AGUCCCGUAGCCCAACAGGCAAGGGUGCUGGACUUUGAAUCCAGAGACGCAGGUUCGAAUCCUGCCGGGACUA